rnacentral:rRNA from 1 species
AGACGUUGGAAAUUUAUUUUCAGUGUCGCAGGGAAACCGAUAAACACACCGCCUGGGGAGUACGACCGCAAGGUUAAAACUCAAAUGAAUUGACGGGGACCCGCACAAGUAGUGGAGCAUGUGGUUUAAUUCGAAGAUACGCGCAGAACCUUACCAACACUUGACAUGUUCGUCGCGACUCUAAGAGAUUAGAGUUUUCGGUUCGGCCGGACGAAACACAGGUGCUGCAUGGCUGUCGUCAGCUCGUGUCGUGAGAUGUUGGGUUAAGUCCCGCAACGAGCGCAACCCUCACUUUUAGUUGCCAUCAUUAAGUUGGGCACUCUGAAAGAACUGCCAGUGAUAAGCUGGAGGAAGGUGGGGAUGACGUCAAGUCCUCAUGGCCCUUACGUGUUGGGCUACACACGUGCUACAAUGGCAUCUACAACAGGAAGCAAAACGGCAACGUUAAGCAAAUCCCGAAAAGAUGCCUCAGUUCGGAUUGCACUCUGCAACUCGAGUGCAUGAAGCUGGAAUUACUAGUAAUCGUGGAUCAGCGUGCCACGGUGAAUGCGUUCCCGGGUCUUGUACACACCGCCCGUCACACCAUGGGAGUUGGUUCUACCUUAAGGCAAGGGUUUAAAACCUUGACCACGGUAUAGUCAGCGACUGGGGUG